rnacentral:lncRNA from 1 species
GCAUUAUCAUACCUACAACUCUCUCCACAUAUGGGUCAUGAAGACCUACAUCAGGUGUGCCUAAGGCUGCUUUUCUCCCACACCCUUUCAGGUGUGGUUUCCCACCUUGCCUUAGUAAAUACAUGAAUGAAAGGUACUAAGGACACAGACUCUCUCUUUCAGACUACACAUGCUUAAACCGGUGCCUGAGUUUUUUGGGGGAAAAAAAUCUGUUUUGUUUAUUGAGGUAUAGAGCUUUUCAGAAAGCAGGAGUGUGUGGAGAACUGAAAGCAGUUGUAGAUACCUAAGGAACUGAAGCCCAUAGAAAAGACAUAUGGCAUUGGAUACAUCACGUGGUUGUCUGAAUGCAAAAUACUGAAGACAUCUGAAAAUGUCAUCUGUGACUCUUGACUGUUGGUGGGAACAUCUCUCACCCAGAGCUAAUCUUUUUGAAGUGCAAGGCCUCAGCUGUUUCCUCAGCACUUCCUGCUGACAUCUUUGUCUUUGAUGCCAGCACUGUCUCUGCCACUUUUAGCUUAAAGUGUCUCCUAGACCUCAUGGAUUCCCUAUUUUUUCCUCGGUUUCUACUUAUAGCAUUCACACUUCCUGCUACAGGAGACUAACUGCAGCAAAAUGUUUUCAGUCUGCCAGAAGGAUCGCUUAUAAGAUCUUCAGAAGCAGUCAGGCUCUCAGCUGUGCCUCUACUCAUCUAAACCCUUCAGAUGGGCACUACUGACACCUACCUCUGCCACUGAACCCAGUGGGUGCCUUGACUGAUGAAAAAACUCCUAAUGGAAUUCACUGUCCACCAUGAAUGAAGUGAUUGGGGUUGCAGCUCAAGCGAGAAGACCUUGCAAAUAGGCACCUUGCUAGUAAGACCCGAUCUCCCACUUAUGACAUGUACUGAAUCAGGAUAAGUUAAAGGUCAGAGCCCUCAGACACAAUUUGGACUGCUUAGGUGUGUUUGCAACCUCUGUUGUGAUGUGAGCUUUGCCCUCUGUAUUAAAGGGGAUUUCCCUAAAUGUCAGGUUUGGGGUUGAUCUCUCUUACUGAAUAGCAACAGGAUAAUGCCACUGCAUUUAAGUGGUGAGGCUUGAUGAGCAGGGUAUAAACCUGACUCCCUAGACCACUGGUUCAUAAACCGUAGUAUGUUGGAGACUCUGUGCCCUACCUAACUGUUCAGCUAUCAAAAAUGAGGAAACUAACACAAAAUGAGGAAACUCAAAAUACUUGGUAGGGCACUGACAUGAAAUCCUAUACUCAUAUCCCUGCUCUGAAUCAUGCUGGCCAUAUUUAGUAAACCUAGGACUCCUACUCCCCUAGUGAAUAAUCCAAACUGGAAGGCAAAUGCGUGUUUUUAGAAGUGGAGAUGGAGACAUUCUGGCUGCUAGCAGGGACCCUUAAUACCUGGGAAAGGACUCAACCUUUGCUUCAAGCAUGAUCCGUCUACAAAAGAUGGAUUAUUAAGGCAAACUGCUAGUAUGUGGAUGAUUCACUUGAUUUAUGAGGAAGAAAAUGGAUUAAAGGAGAUCUUUGAAAACUAAGUUUUGUGCAUCAGGUUGGACUAUGCAACAAAAGAUUAUUGAGAAAAAUAUUUCUCACCAAUGUAUUGUUAAGGAAACAUUGUGAUUUCAUAGGUAGAAUCCAUUUAAUCUUUUUGACUGCAG